rnacentral:ncRNA from 2 species
UAUUAAGAAUUCCGUAAUGGUUUGAAUCCGGGAGAUUCCCGGAGGAGAUGAAAAGGGAAGCGCGGUGAGGGGAGACCCGAUUCCGCCACGGUCCCGCCGCUGUGAAGCUUCGGAAAGCAGGCAAUGAUUGAAUCGGCCCUUUCCAGGGAAAUUUCAUGAUGUCACUGGGAAACUGGGAAGACGAAAUCUCUGAGGAAGCUGAGUCAGAAGAACUGCCUUAUGGAACCGGUUUUC